GAUACGUGGACAGGUCAUGCGGUUACUAUUUAUUACAUCUGUUAUAAUUGAACACAUUAUUCUAACAUACUCACAUUUAUCUACAGACAGAGACGAUCAGUCCAUGUUGAUCACGUGAGUAAUGUUAUGUUUUUUAUUUUAUUCUUAACGCUAAUUUGCCGUUUCAAGACCAUGUUUACGUUUUUACGUUACUUUCAAAUUCGUUUACCUGGCAGCAUCUCCAUUUCACCUCAUCCUUACGCAGUAGAUUUCACCUUAGUUUGACCAGCUGAAAACAUGAAGAAACUGUGAAACGUUCAAUCAAAAGUUCAACCAUGAUCAACAUUAUCCUAUAAUAUAUGCCAACAUCUAAUUUCUACACCAAUUCACAUAUUCAAUAAGGUCAAACGGACGUAUUAAUUACCUUACAGGUAGAAUCAUCUAAAUGACAUGAUUAAAGAUUUUCUUCCACCUCUGGACAUUUACGUUAAAAAACUAAAAAAAUUAACAAUAGUAGACUUUCCCAACUUCUACUAUCUUUAAACUGCGCGUUCUCCCACUAGAGGGCUAUACCAUAUGGAUAUAACCUUUCUUACAUAAUUAAUUAUACACAGGUUUCCUCACAAUAUGUGAAAACAGUUUCUGCUAUUGCAAUAUUACUCUAUUUUAUUAUUUUAGUCUCAACUUUCCACAACUGUUUGGUCAAGCACAACAGAGUUCACAACAUAGCUGUUCACGAACCAAAUAAUAAGUAGGAUGGGACAGCCGUUAUACACAUAAUCGCCGUUAUAAUGGUUUAUAUAAGAAUUAAGAGGAGACUAGUCUGCAACACUUUUGAAACAAAUUAAGUACGAAAAAGUCAUAGUAAAUUUUAAGAUGCCCGCACUACGUUGUUGUUUUUGGGAAGUAACUCUUUGGUAUCCUGCCACAGGAACAAAUGCAUUAUGCACAAAGUGUAGUAUCCAGUAGACAAUAUUUGUACAGUGCAUGGCAGCAAACCACCACGCCUACAGACAUUCUCACACGUGCACGUAUGCACGCACGCACGCACGCAUGCACCCAUGCACGCAUGCAUGCACGUGCGCACGCAUGCGAAAACAUCAACAUAACUUGGUCAGUUUACACUACGAUUUCACAAUUGAUUAUCGGCUAUGCGCCACUCGUCUCAGAGCUGGUCUACGAGCAGAUUCGUCUUCACGGCAACACA